rnacentral:piRNA from 1 species
UCCACACCUGGAGUGAUGGGUCCUUAAAGUC